CCUACGGGAGGCAGCAGUGAGGAAUAUUGGUCAAUGGACGAGAGCCUGAACCAGCCAAGUAGCGUGAAGGAUGACUGCCCUAUGGGUUGUAAACUUCUUUUAUAUGGGAAUAAAAUGUUCCACGUGUGGGAUUUUGUAUGUACCUUAUGAAUAAGGAUCGGCUAACUCCGUGCCAGCAGCCGCGGUAAUACGGAGGAUCCGAGCGUUAUCCGGAUUUAUUGGGGUUAAAGGGAGCGUAGGUGGUUUGUUAAGUCAGUUGUGAAAGUUUGCGGCUCAACCGUAAAAUUGCAGUUGAAAAUGGCAGUCUGGAGUACAGUAGAGGUAGGCGGAAUUCGCGGUGUAGCGGUGAAAUGCUUAGAUAUCACGAAGAACUCCGAUUGCGAAGGCAGCUCACUGGACUGACACUGACACUGAGGCUCGAAAGUGUGGGUAUCAAACAGGAUUAGAUACCCGGGUAGUC
rnacentral:rRNA from 1 species